rnacentral:pre_miRNA from 1 species
ACAAUCGUGGUAAAUCUACGUAUGGAAAUUCUGUGACACUGGAUCCGCUAUUACACUGGCCGUAAAAUAAGUUUGAAUAAUUUUGAGGUGUUCCAAGGGGAUGAGAUGGUCUCGGCCUUCCAUAACAAGUAUACAUCUCCUAGAGUAGUAGAACAUUAGUUCACGAACAACUAAUGUUCUACUACUCCGGGAGAUGUAUAUAUGUUAUGGAAGGUUGAGACCAUCCCAUCUCCUUGGAACACCUCAAAAUUGUUCAACUUAUUUUACGGCCAGUGUAAUAGAGGAUCCAGUAUCAGAGAAUUCCCAUACGUACAUUUACCACGAUUGUC